rnacentral:ncRNA from 1 species
ACAAAGGCUCUUUUAAGAGCCACCCACAUGGUCUUUCUCAGAGCUU